rnacentral:rRNA from 1 species
CUACGGGGGGCUGCAGUGGGGAAUUUUGGACAAUGGGGGAAACCCUGAUCCAGCCAUGCCGCGUGAGUGAAGAAGGCCUUCGGGUUGUAAAGCUCUUUCGGCUGGGAAGAAAUCGCACAGGCUAAUACUCUGUGUGGAUGACGGUACCAGCAUAAGAAGCACCGGCUAACUACGUGCCAGCAGCCGCGGUAAUACGUAGGGUGCGAGCGUUAAUCGGAAUUACUGGGCGUAAAGCGUGCGCAGGCGGUUGUGCAAGACAGAUGGGAAAUCCCCGGGCUCAACCUGGGAACUGCAUUUGUGACUGCACGACUAGAGUACGGCAGAGGGGGGUAGAAUUCCACGUGUAGCAGUGAAAUGCGUAGAGAUGUGGAGGAAUACCGAUGGCGAAGGCAGCCCCCUGGGCCGAUACUGACGCUCAUGCACGAAAGCGUGGGGAGCAAACAGGAUUAGAUACCCUUGUAGUC